ACCGCUCUCUCUGUUCUAGCUGUCGUGGUCCUCCAUCUCUCUUCCAGGCUCAUCCAGCCAAUACUAAGUUGUUCAGAGGUUCUAUUGAUUUACCUGAAGGAGGACCCAUGGGGAUUCCUAAAAUGACCUGUGACUGGCUAUCCUGGAUUCAGAGAUUCUCAAUAACGAUCAUUUCAUAUGCACCGUACUGUGCGUUUUCACGAAAGGUUCCAACGUUGUGUUUGAAUGCGCUCGUGUAUUCGAGUCAAUCUUCUCUUUGCAUUUACAGCACUGCAUGUCUGAGGAGUUUGCCAAUGGUCUUGUCUCUGCCUUGCGCCGGCACAAAUAGGUUAAGCAAAGUAAGCGAAUUGCGUGUGCAGCGAGGGACUCGAGAGUUGCGCCUCGUAUAGGCGCCCAUCUGUUGGGUCACAAGUAUGGAGGGCGAGUGGUUACUGGGGAGAAAUUGAGCAGGCUGCUGAAUGUUUUAUGGCAAGGCUAGUGAGAAAAGUGCCAUCUCUGCAAAACUAGGUUCAGUGUGAAAACGUGGGCAUGGGGCCGUUCUGCUCUGCAACCUCGAAAUCAUAAAUGAUUGAUGUAUUUGCAUGUCACCUGCCUUUUUUCCCGUCUGUCUGAUUCCUCUCUCUGUCCCCCCUCCCUCUCUCUUUCUUUUGUGCAGAUGUGGGUCCUAGAUGUAGAGAGCCUUCUCAGUUCGAUGGCCAGGCAACUGAGUGCCUCUCUGGAAAAAUAUCCCCGGCAAGAGCUUGCGAAUGGCACAAAUCCUUCCCCCUCUUCAUCCUUCCCUCUUCCCCCUCAAGGCCCAGGAAGGUUUACCCCCUGUUGUCAAGCCCUUUCAGACCGGCAGCUCUAGAUUGACCUUCAGACUGAAGGACUUUCUGUGGAUCAAAGCAAGUUAAAACCGACACUCAACCAGCCUGUAUCAUCUCCUGAUUUGGAACGUUUCUCAACAUAAUGGACGGUGUUAUACAUGAUUAACCUAUCUAGAUGGCCGCCCUGACCAUAGAAAUGUCACCACAGGUGAUUAUGCCCAAAGCCAAGUUCUUAAAUUACAACAUUGGCCCCGCCUCCCCAUGUGCUGAAAUGCAGAGGGAGGCAUGGCAAUGGAUAACCUUGUCAGACACAAGCAUGCAAGGUGGAACAAAUGUAACGAAAUCGUUCAUAGCUGGGUGUGUCCUCCUCCUUGAUGAAGAGUUGUUUACGACAUUCAGGAGAGGUGUGAUCCUGUUUAGACACUAAUGUACUGAGACUUUCUAAGAAAUAAAGAACGAUACGUUAAACAAAAAAAAUAAGUUCACACCCUUCAUUGGAUUAAGUGUUCCUACUUGAUCCCUUCCCUGACAUAAUAAAGAACUGGUUUGGAUGA